AUGAAAGAUUAAUUUAAAUGACAUCAAGCAUGAAAAUAUGCACGAUUACAUAACAAAACGCUAUAUAUUCAGGAUAUGAUGUUACUAUAUAAACAACAAACACUCAGUUGAAGAUUGCUUCUACAUUCAACAAAAUAUUUUCAGCAACUUAAGAAAUAAAAAGAUGAAAUUGGAAAUUGUGGUUACAACUUUACUCCUCAUCAUGGCAUUUGGCAUACAGACAUCUAGCCAAGCGUCGUGUACGGCUUUGUGUACUGACUUCAACCACGAACGUUGUUAUGGCUGUUGUCAUGCCAAAGACUGCUUCAGGGGUGGAGAUUGCGAUACGUUGACAAAAAGAUGCGUUUGUAAUGGAUGCAUGGGAAUGAAAGCUGCAGGAGGAAAACCUAUGUAAACAUUCUUAUCAAUAUCGUUAGUUUAAAAACUUGCGAAUAAACUUAUCCGUA